rnacentral:rRNA from 1 species
GACGAACGCUGGCGGCGUGCCUAAUACAUGCAAGUAGAACGCUGAAGGAGGAGAUUGCUUCUCUGGAUGAGUUGCGAACGGGUGAGUAACGCGUAGGUAACCUGCCUGGUAGCGGGGGAUAACUAUUGGAAACGAUAGCUAAUACCGCAUAAUAGUAGAUGUUGCAUGACAUUUGCUUAAAAGGUGCAAUUGCAUCACUAACAGAUGGACCUGCGUUGUAUUAGCUAGUUGGUGGGGUAACGGCUCACCAAGGCGACGAUACAUAGCCGACCUGAGAGGGUGAGCGGCCACACUGGGACAGUGACACGGCCCAGACGCCUACGGGAGGCGGCGGAAGGGGAACUUCGGCAAUGGACGGAAGACUGACCGGGCGACGCGGCGUGAGUAAAGAGGGGUUUCGGAUCGUGUAGAGCUGUUGUAAGGGGAGAACGGGUGUGAGAGUGGAAAGUUCACACUGUGGAGGUAUCUUACCGGAGAAGGACGGCUAAAUACGUG